rnacentral:rRNA from 1 species
UACAGAGGUCUCAAGCGUUUGUUCGGAUUCAUUGGGCGUAAAGGGUGUGUAGGUGGCGCCGUAAGUCGGGUGUGAAAUUUCGGAGCUUAACUCCGAAACUGCAUUCGAUACUGCGGUGCUUGAGGACUGGAGAGGAGACUGGAAUUCAUGGUGUAGCAGUGAAAUGCGUAGAGAUCAGGAGGAACACCGGUGGCGAAGGCGGAUCUCUGGGCCAUUACUGACGCUGAGGAGCGAAAAGCGUGGGGAGCGAACAGG